rnacentral:pre_miRNA from 1 species
UGUUGAUGAUAAUGGUGACGAUGAUGACGAUGACGAUGAUGACGAUGACGACGACGAACAUCAUCAUCAUCAUCAUCAUCAUCAUCAUCAUCACCA